ensembl:snoRNA
UGGACCUUUGGUGACAACUGGUGGUGUCCAAGUCAAGGCUGGUUAAUAGCAUCGUUUGCACAUCUGAGGUCUAA